GCAGUGACCGUGGCGUUGUAGGUGGAAGCGGCAGUGGAGGAGGUAGCCAACACUGUUUUUUAUUUGUUUUGUUUUGUUUUUUUAAUUGGCGUAGCCCCCAAAAUAUUGGAACAUAUCAGAGGAGGAGGUGGAUGUGGAGUAGGAGGUUGAGGAGGCGGUGACUGUGGCGGCGACAAUGCAUUCGGAUGUUUGCCCUAUCAACUUUCGAUGUUACUAUCUGCCCCUACCAUGGUGAUUACGGGUAACGGGGAAUCAGGGUUUGAUUACGGAGAGGGAGCCUGAGAAACGGCUACCACAUCCAAGGAAGGCAGCAGGCACGCAAAUUACCCACUCCUGAUGCGGGGAGGUAGUGAC